GAAGAGAAAUGGCUGCAGUGGAGUCAGUCCAGGCCAGAGAAUAACAUCCAUGUUUCGCUGCAGAUCAUCUCAUCCUCCCAGGGGCAAGGAAAUGGCUGCAAUGGAGCUGGCUCAGGGGCCGGUGACCUUCGAGGAGGUGGCUGUGUAUUUCUCCAGGGAAGAGGGGACUCUGCUGGACCCCACUCAGA